rnacentral:rRNA from 1 species
AGCCGCGGUAAUUCCAGCUCCAUUGGCGUAUAUUAAAGUUGUUGCGGUUAAAAAGCUCGUAGUUGGAUCUGUGUAUCGGACGGUCGGUUCGCCGCUCGCGGUGUUUGACUGACCGGUUCGGACGUCAUGCCGGUGGGACCUCGGUGCAAGCCGGGGUUCCGUAAUUUACCCUCCGCGCUGCUCUUAACCGAGUGGUUCGGUGGGCCGGCACGUUUACUUUGAACAAAUUUGAGUGCUCAAAGCAGGCCUUAUGUUGCCUGGAAACUGUGUGCAUGGAAUAAUGAAAGAGGACCUUGGUUCUAUUUUGUUGGCUUUCUGAACUCGAGGUAAUGAUUAACAGGGACAGACGGGGGCAUUCGUAUUGCGACGUUAGAGGUGAAAUUCUUGGAUCGUCGCAAGACGGACCGAUGCGAAAGCGUUUGCCAAGAAUGUUUUCGCUAAUCAAGAACGAAAGUUAGAGGUUCGAAGGCGAUUAGAUACCGCCCUAGUUCUAACCAUAAACGAUGUCAGCCAGCGAUGCGCCGAUGUUCCACCGAUGACACGGCGCGCAACUUCCGGGAAACCAAAGCUUUUGGGUUCCGGGGGAA